rnacentral:rRNA from 1 species
CCUACGGGAGGCAGCAGUGGGGAAUAUUGGGCAAUGGGCGCAAGCCUGACCCAGCAACGCCGCGUGAAGGAAGAAGGCUUUCGGGUUGUAAACUUCUUUUGACAGGGAAGAGCAGAAGACGGUACCUGUCGAAUAAGCCACGGCUAACUACGUGGAAGCAGCCGCGGUAAUACGUAGGGGGCAAGCGUUGUCCGGAUUUACGGGGUGUAAAGGGCGUGUAGCCGGGCUGACAAGUCAGAUGUGAAAUCCGGGGGCUAAACCCCCGAACUGCAUUGGAAACUGUUGGUCUUGAGUAUCGGAGAGGCAGGCGGAAUGCCUGGUGUAGCGGUGAAAUGCGUAGAUAUUAGGAGGAACAC